CAUUAGGUGGCUGAACACCAAGCACUGACCUCUUAAGUCAACCCAUAGUAAUUAUACUCCUAAUGA
rnacentral:tRNA from 1 species